rnacentral:rRNA from 1 species
GAGUUUGACGUGGCUCAGAUUGAACGCUGGCGGCAUGCCUUACACAUGCAAGUCGAACGGCAGCACGGGAGCUUGCUCCUGGUGGCGAGUGGCGAACGGGUGAGUAAUGCAUCGGAACGUAUCCUGGAGUGGGGGAUAACGUAGCGAAAGUUACGCUAAUACCGCAUAUUCUGUGAGCAGGAAAGCGGGGGACCUUCGGGCCUCGCGCUCCUGGAGCGGCCGAUGUCGGAUUAGCUAGUUGGUGAGGUAAAGGCUCACCAAGGCGACGAUCCGUAGCAGGUCUGAGAGGAUGAUCUGCCACACUGGAACUGAGACACGGUCCAGACUCCUACGGGAGGCAGCAGUGGGGAAUUUUGGACAAUGGGGGCAACCCUGAUCCAGCCAUGCCGCGUGAGUGAAGAAGGCCUCGGUUGUAAG